ensembl:lncRNA
CGUGAUAUUGUCACUGAGGCGGAAAUGAAAGUUCACCAGCGACAGCAACGGAGCACAGCCGAGAAAGAGCUGUGAGGUCAUGGCAGCUGCCAGCACGAGCAGACCUGGCGGUGGUGCCCAGACCACUGAGAAGUCUCAGUUGAUCUUGAAAGGUAAUGACCUGUUUGUUUAUUUUUUUUUUGGUCAUUGAUCUGACUAACUGAUCCAAAUAACAUCAUAGCACGUCGUUCCAAAACUAGGACAAAGCUCUGCACAUGAGGCAGCAUGAGGUCCUAUCCAUCCAUCCAUCACAACAUUUAAGAUAUCUUGCAGAGGACCCUUUCUUAGUUGUCGGUCUGGAUAGAUGGACAGAUAUACAUAGGUGCUCUAUUAAUCCCCAAGAGGAAAUGUGUGUGUAAUAGUGGCAGUACAGUACAUAGCAUGAGAAACCAAAAUGAACACUAUAUACUCCGGUCUAAUGGACCUUCACAAGGCCCACGUGGUUCUGCUGGAGUGACGGGCUCCGAAACCCCACGUUCCAAACACUGCGUGCAGUACACCUGUGCGCCCUGGUGGUAGAGGUCAUUGACCUGCUGGAAGAUGCACAGCCUUCUCCUGAUACUGAUACUGACUCUAAAACCUGGUCCAGCGUUGUGGGCUGUAGAGGCUUUUCUGGUAUUUGAACAACUCUCCUCCCCAUUCAUCUUAACCUUUUAUAAGGUCAUUAAUGAAAACCUUUUUUCUCAAUUUUUCCUAUUUCCAUAAAAAAGUAAUGUGACGGCCUGACCCAACACACCAUAAUGUUCUUACCACAAGUGAAGGAAGAAGUCAGAUGAUUUUUAUUUAAAUCAUUAAAGCAGCUAUAACCGAUAUUUCAUAGGGGAUUACAUCUGUAUGUGACGUGUAGCUAUAAAUGAUCAACCCAAGGAGUUUCAUCAUGUUGACGGUUACCGUCAGAGCAAUUAAAAAAAAGUAAAUGAGUAAUAGUGCUGCGCCGCGCGCUCUCCUCCCCCCCCCCACUAGAGGGCGAUGUCUGCCUGUGUUUCUCACCACCAACCACGCGGGUUUCGCCCCCUCACCCUCCAGGAGAAACGCCUGGGUGAAUAAUCCAGUAAAAUAAGUCUUUAUUUUAGUCAAGCACACAGCUAUUUGAAGAACGAGUAGAGCAAAUAUUAUGUUGUGAAGUACACAGUAAAGAAAAUACAUUUGAUCCAGAAUACUUUUGUGCAUUAACUUGCAUACUAAAUUAAUUAUUUG